GAUGAACGCUAGCGGCAGGCCUAACACAUGCAAGUCGAGGGGUAACAGAGAGUGCUUGCACUCUGCUGACGACCGGCGCACGGGUGAGUAACGCGUAUAGAACCUACCUUUUACUGGAGAAUAACCAGGAGAAAUUCUGACUAAUACUCCAUAGUAUGUAUAAGUUGCAUAGUUUAUACAUUAAAGAUUUAUUGGUAAAAGAUGGCUAUGCGUCCUAUUAGCUAGAUGGUGUGGUAACGGCACACCAUGGCAACGAUAGGUAGGGGCCCUGAGAGGGGGAUCCCCCACACUGGUACUGAGACACGGACCAG
rnacentral:rRNA from 1 species